rnacentral:tRNA from 1 species
GUCCCUGUCGUCUAAAGGUUAGGACGCGAGAUUUUCAUUCUCGAAAUCCGGGUUCGAUUCCCGGCGGGGGUA